rnacentral:rRNA from 1 species
UAGGGAAUCUUCGGCAAUGGGGGGAACCCUGACCGAGCAACGCCGCGUGAGUGAAGAAGGUUUUCGGAUCGUAAAGCUCUGUUGUUAAGGAAGAACGAGUGUGAGAAUGGAAAGUUCAUGCUGUGACGGUACUUAACCAGAAAGGGCCGGCUAACUACGUGCCAGCAGCCGCGGUAAUACGUAGGUCCCGAGCGUUGUCCGGAUUUAUUGGGCGUAAAGCGAGCGCAGGCGGUUAGAAAAGUCUGAAGUGAAAGGCAGUGGCUCAACCAUUGUAGGCUUUGGAAACUGUUUAACUGGAGUGCAGAAGGGUAGAGUGGAAUUCCAUGUGUAGCGGUGAAAUGCGUAGAUAUAUGGAGGAACAACGGUGGCGAAAGCGGCUCUCUGGUCUGUAACUGACGCUGAGGCUCGAAAGCGUGGGGAGCGAACAGG